UCCAAGACCAACAGGAGCAUGUGGUAGC
rnacentral:piRNA from 1 species